GCCUGGGUAGCUCAGUGGUAGAGCAGCGCACUCGUAAUGCGCAGGCCGUGGGUUCAAUCCCCACCCCAGGCU
rnacentral:tRNA from 1 species